GACGAACGCUGGCGGCGCGCUUAACACAUGCAAGUCGAACGGAAAGGCCUGCUUUCCCUUGUGGAUUGCGGGUACUCGAGUGGCGAACGGGUGAGUAACACGUGAGUGAUCUGCCCCCAACUUGGGUAUAAGCCUGGGAAACUGGGUCUAAUUCCCGAUAGGACUGCAGGGUGGUGCCUGUGGUGGAAAACGAUUUUCUAGUGGUUGGGGAUGAGCUCGCGGCCUAUCAGCUUGUUGGUGGGGUAAUGGCCUACCAAGGCGGCGACGGGUAGCCGGCCUGAGAGGGUGGACGGCCACAUUGGGACUGAGAUACGGCCCAGACUCCUACGGGAGGCAGCAGUGGGGAAUAUUGCACAAUGGGCGGAAGCCUGAUGCAGCGACGCCGCGUGGGGGAUGACGGCCUUCGGGUUGUAAACUCCUUUCGACCGCGAGGAAGCCACCUGGUUGGAAGGGUGGUGACGGUAGUGGUAGAAGAAGCGCCGGCUAACUACGUG
rnacentral:rRNA from 1 species